rnacentral:misc_RNA from 1 species
GGCUUUGGAUCAGUUUUCAAAGGGUGGAUUGAUGAGCAUUCACUUACUGCUGCAAAACCUGGUUCUGGCAUGGUGAUUGCUGUGAAGAGGCUUAACCAAGAAGGGUUCCAGGGUCACAGGGAAUGGCUGGCGGAGAUCAACUAUCUUGGGCAAUUGCAACAUCUUAAUCUUGUUAAGUUGGUUGGUUACUGCUUUGAGGAUGACCAUCGACUUUUGGUUUAUGAAUUCAUGCCCCGUGGCAGUAUGGAGAAUCAUCUAUUUAGGAGAGGAUCUCACUUCCAGCCACUUUCUUGGAAGAUUCGCAUGAAAGUGGCUCUUGGUGCUGCAAGAGGACUUGCAUUUCUUCAUAGUGCUGAAACAAAAGUCAUAUAUCGAGAUUUCAAGACUUCUAAUAUACUGCUUGAUUCAAACCACAAUGCAAAGCUUUCUGAUUUUGGUUUAGCCAGGGAUGGACCAACUGGGGAUAAGAGUCAUGUCUCUACUAGAGUCAUGGGAACUCAUGGAUAUGCUGCACCAGAGUAUUUAGCCACAGGCCAUUUGACUACAAAGAGCGAUGUAUACAGCUUUGGAGUUGUACUUCUAGAAAUGUUAUCUGGCCGACGAGCUAUAGACAAGAAUCGGCCAACAGGGCAGCAUAAUCUGGUGGAGUGGGCAAAACCUUACUUGACAAACAAACGCAAAAUUCUCCAUGUGUUGGAUACGCGUCUGGAUGGCCAAUACUCCCUCAGUCGAGCCCAAAAGUUGGCUAACCUUGCACUUAAAUGCUUAGAUGUAGAACCAAAGUUCAGACCAAACAUGGAUGAGGUGGUAAAGGAAUUAGAGCAGCUUCAAGAAUCAAAUAAAAAAGAGAACAAUGUAAUUACUCCUGGGGACAACAAUGGUGGACGGAUUGCAUAUCCACGACCUUCUGCAUCACCGCUUCAUGCAUAGGCAUGAGUAAGAUUUUUUGUUGUUAAUAUAAAGGAAUCCUUGGAUGGGAAACAUUUUGAGUUCAGGCAUGUGCUAGAAGCAUGUGCCUAUUUGAGCAGUGUACAGUUUCUGGUUAUGUACUUUGCGUGCGUGUUAGUAUUUAUGCCUCCAUUUUUGGAUUUUUCCUGUUCGCCAUCAGAAUGAUGGAGCACAGAUAGUUAUCUGGAUUACUGCAAUAUUUUGUACUUGAAAACAGCUACAGAAGAGCAAAGUUUUUAUGUGAGUAUAAUUAAGUUUAUUUUGAGCAAAAAAAAACUUAAUUAUACU